rnacentral:tRNA from 1 species
GCAGUGGUGGUUCAGUGGUAGAGUUCCCCUCUUCCAUGCUGGAGAUCCAGGUUCGAUUCCUGGCCAACACA